UAGUCCACGCUGUAAACGAUGGAUGCUAGAUGUUGGGAACAUAAGUUCUCAGUGUCGCAGCUAACGCAUUAAGCAUCCCGCCUGGGGAGUACGGUCGCAAGAUUAAAACUCAAAGAAAUUGACGGGGACCCGCACAAGCGGUGGAGUAUGUGGUUUAAUUCGAAGCAACGCGCAGAACCUUACCAGCUCUUGACAUGGAACGUAUAGAUCUAAGAGAUUAGAUUUUUCACUUCGGGUGGCGUUCGCACAGGUGCUGCAUGGCUGUCGUCAGCUCGUGUCGUGAGAUGUUGGGUUAAGUCCCGCAACGAGCGCAACCCUUGGUACUAGUUGCUAACAGGUUAUGCUGAGCACUUUAGAUGACUGCCGGUGACAAGCCGGAGGAAGGUGGGGGAUGACGUCAAGUCCUCAUGGCCCUUAUGGGGCUGGGGCUGCACACGUACUACAAUGGUGGUGACAAAAGGGAAGCGACCUCGCAAGGGGUGAGCG
rnacentral:rRNA from 1 species